CGUACACUCCUACGGGAGGCAGCAGUGGGGAAUAUUGCACAAUGGGCGCAAGCCUGAUGCAGCGACGCCGCGUGGGGGAUAAAGGCCUUCGGGUUGUAAACUCCUUUCGCUAGGGACGAAGCUUUUUUGUGACGGUACCUAGAUAAGAAGCACCGGCUAACUACGUGCCAGCAGCCGCGGUAAUACGUAGGGUGCGAGCGUUGUCCGGAAUUACUGGGCGUAAAGGGCUCGUAGGUGGUUUGUCGCGUCGUCUGUGAAAUUCUGGGGCUUAACUCCGGGCGUGCAGGCGAUACGGGCAUAACUUGAGUGCUGUAGGGGUAACUGGAAUCCCUGGUGUAGCGGUGAAAUGCGCAGAUAUCAGGAGGAACACCGAUGGCGAAGGCAGGUUACUGGGCAGUUACUGACGCUGAGGAGCGAAAGCAUGGGUAGCGAACAGGAUUAGAUACCCCAGUAGUCCCAUGA
rnacentral:rRNA from 1 species